rnacentral:rRNA from 1 species
ACAGGAAACAGCUUGCUGUUUCGCUGACGAGUGGCGGACGGGUGAGUAAUGUCUGGGAAACUGCCUGAUGGGGGGGGAUAACUACUGGAAACGGUAGCUAAUACCGCAUAACGUCGCAAGACCAAAGAGGGGGACCUUCGGGCCUCUUGCCAUCGGAUGUGCCCAGAUGGGAUUAGCUUGUUGGUGGGGUAACGGCUCACCAAGGCGACGAUCCCUAGCUGGUCUGAGAGGAUGACCAGCCACACUGGAACUGAGACACGGUCCAGACUCCUACGGGAGGCAGCAGUGGGGAAUAUUGCACAAUGGGCGCAAGCCUGAUGCAGCCAUGCCGCGUGUAUGAAGAAGGCCUUCGGGUUGUAAAGUACUUUCAGCGGGGAGGAA